rnacentral:snRNA from 1 species
UAACUAACCUGGCUGGGGGCUCUCGCGACUACGAAGGCGGGAGCCCCAUGCUGAGGCCCACACACUGCACUUAGUGAGGGCUGACCCGUGUGGCAGCUUCGUGUUGAAGUUAGCCAACAGCUGGAUUUUUAC